rnacentral:rRNA from 1 species
UUGUCUCAAAGAUUAAGCCAUGCAUGUCUCAGUACAAGCCGCAUUAAGGUGAAACCGCGAAAGGCUCAUUAAAUCAGUUAUGGUUCCUUAGAUCGUACCCACACUUACUUGGAUAACUGUGGUAAUUCUAGAGCUAAUACAUGCAAACAGAGCUCCGACCGGAGACGGGAGGAGUGCUUUUAUUAGAUCAAAACCAAUCGGCGGCGGGCGCGUUCGCGCGUCCGUUCGCCGCUCAACCUGGUGACUCUGAAUAACUUUCCGCUGAUCGCACGGUCUCGCACCGGCGACGCAUCUUUCAAAUGUCUGCCUUAUCAACUGUCGAUGGUAGGUUCUGCGCCUACCAUGGUCGUAACGGGUAACGGGGAAUCAGGGUUCGAUUCCGGAGAGGGAGCCUGAGAAACGGCUACCACAUCCAAGGAAGGCAGCAGGCGCGCAAAUUACCCACUCCCGGCACGGGGAGGUAGUGACGAAAAAUAACGAUACGGGACUCAUCCGAGGCCCCGUAAUCGGAAUGAGUACACUUUAAAUCCUUUAACGAGGACCCAUUGGAGGGCAAGUCUGGUGCCAGCAGCCGCGGUAAUUCCAGCUCCAAUAGCGUU